UUCUCUCCUUAAGGAUGAAUUUUCAUCUCUCUAUCACACGUUACUAACUCUGCUUUCUCCCCGGCAGUCCUUUUGACUUUACGUCUCAUGGGGUCAUCGGACCCUAUGAGCAGGCAUAGAUCCUAUCUGCCUGAUGGAUCGUCUGGGUCGUGGAAUUCCUGCUCAUGACUACGCCACUGUCCUGUUGAGACUCCGCCCACUCCUCCUCCCCACCGCCAUCUGCCUGAUGGAUCGUGGAGGAGAGGGAUCCUCCUCUGUUGCUCUCCUCCAGGUUUCUUCCCUUUUUUUCCCCCUGAAGGGUUAUUUGGGAGUUUUUCCUGGUCCGAUGUGAGGUUUUGGGGCAGGGAUGUCUAUGUGUACAGAUUGUAAAGCACUCCGAGACAAAUUUGUAAUUUGUGAAAUUGGGCUAUACAAAUAAACUGAAUUGAACUGAA